GACGAACGCUGGCGGCGUGCUUAACACAUGCAAGUCGAACGGAAAGGCCCUGCUUUUGUGGGGGGCUCGAGUGGCGAACGGGUGAGUAACACGUGAGUAACCUGCCCUUGACUUUGGGAUAACUUCAGGAAACUGGGGCUAAUACCGGAUAGGAGCUCCUGCAGCAUGGUGGGGGUUGGAAAGUUUCGGCGGUUGGGGAUGGACUCGCGGCUUAUCAGCUUGUUGGUGGGGUAGUGGCUUACCAAGGCUUUGACGGGUAGCCGGCCUGAGAGGGUGACCGGCCACAUUGGGACUGAGAUACGGCCCAGACUCCUACGGGAGGCAGCAGUGGGGAAUAUUGCACAAUGGGCGGAAGCCUGAUGCAGCAACGCCGCGUGCGGGAUGACGGCCUUCGGGUUGUAAACCGCUUUCGCCUGUGACGAAGCGUGAGUGACGGUAAUGGGUAAAGAAGCACCGGCUAACUACGUG
rnacentral:rRNA from 1 species